rnacentral:rRNA from 1 species
CAGUAGCCGCGGUAAUACGUAGGGUGCGAGCGUUAAUCGGAAUUACUGGGCGUAAAGCGUGCGCAGGCGGUUUGUUAAGACAGAUGUGAAAUCCCCGGGCUUAACCUGGGAACUGCAUUUGUGACUGGCCGGCUAGAGUAUGGCAGAGGGAGGUGGAAUUCCACGUGUAGCAGUGAAAUGCGUAGAUAUGUGGAGGAACACCGAUGGCGAAGGCAGCCUCCUGGGCCAAUACUGACGCUCAUGCACGAAAGCGUGGGGAGCAAACAGGAUUAGAUACCCGAGUAGUCCCUGUCUCUUAUAC